rnacentral:ncRNA from 2 species
CCGGUCGAGGGGCGCUGCAGCGGGCUGCUCUUGCAUGGAGCAGCCCGUCAGGCUCGACCGGGGCGUUUAUCCGAACGCAUCAACGGCGCCCAUUCGCA